rnacentral:rRNA from 1 species
UAAUACGGAGGGUGCAAGCGUUAAUCGGAAUUACUGGGCGUAAAGCGCGCGUAGGUGGUUUGUUAAGUGGGAUGUGAAAGCCCCGGGCUCAACCUGGGAAUUGCACCCCAAACUGGCGAACUAGAGUACAAGAGAGGGGUGUGGAAUUUCCUGUGUAGCGGUGAAAUGCGUAGAUAUAGGAAGGAACAUCAGUGGCGAAGGCGACGCCCUGGCUUGAUACUGACACUGAGGUGCGAUAGCGUGGGGAGCAAACAGGACUAGAUACCCUGGUGGUCCACGCCGUAAACGAUGUCUACUAGCCGUUGGGGGACUUGAUCCUUUAGUGGCGAAGCUAACGCGAUAAGUAGACCGCCUGGGGAGUACGGUCGCAAGAUUA